CCUACGGGCGGCAGCAGUCGAGAAUCAUUCACAAUGGGGGAAACCCUGAUGGUGCGACGCCGCGUGGGGGAAUGAAGGUCUUCGGAUUGUAAACCCCUGUCAUGUGGGAGCAAAUUAAAAAGAUAGUACCCCAAGAGGAAGAGACGGCUAACUCUGUGUCAGCAGCCGCGGUAAUACAGAGGUCUCAAGCGUUGUUCGGAAUCACUGGGCGUAAAGCGUGCGUAGGCUGUUUCGUAAGUCGUGUGUGAAAGGCGCGGGCUCAACCCGCGGACGGCACAUGAUACUGCGAGACUAGAGUAAUGGAGGGGGAACCGGAAUUCUCGGUGUAGCAGUGAAAUGCGUAGAGAUCGAGAGGAACACUCGUGGCGAAGGCGGGUUCCUGGACAUUAACUGACGCUGAGGCACGAAGGCCAGGGGAGCGAAAGGGAUUAGAUACCCGGGUAGUC
rnacentral:rRNA from 1 species